GCCAUUUCAAGAGCCACUAGCAGCACCGGGAAACACUAUCAAAAACCCUCUCUCAAUCCCCUCAUUUUCUCUCAAUCAAAAUCCCAUUUUCAAGAUUCAAGAAUCCGCUCAAAAUACUUGCGUUUUAUAAGCUUCUCUGUAAGAUCUUGAUUGAAAUCCCAAAAAAUCUGUUAUUGUAGCACACAAAGUGUUUACAAAUGGAUUCAACACCUUCUUCUUAUAGAUCAAAUCCUUAUUCUCAAACCAAAUCAGCUUCUCGUUUAGCCCGAAUCACCAAUUCCAUCGACAAUGAAGAACCACCACAUCUAUCUCUUGAUCUCAUACCCUCACCAGCAAAGAAGACUCCAUCAACACCUUUGAAUUUGUCUCUCAAAUCUUCCACCAAUUCUCUUCCUUUCCGCGAACUACUUCUCCUCUCACCAUCUCCUUCAAGAAAAUCAAGAACCCGCCUAGCUGAUCGCCUUGAGGUGGGCGAGGAGGCAGCUAUGGAGCCAACUGGGUCUCGCAAGAGAUGCAAAAGUAGGGCAGCUCAAUUAGGUGCUCUUGGUUGUGCUUCACCAAGGCAUAGCAGAAGGUCAAGGAGAAGGUCGGAGAUGGAGAGUAGAGAAGAGAAAGAUUUGAUAGGCAUGGUGGAGGAGAUUGGCAAGGUGCGAAAAAGAAGGCAUAGCGGCAGGUCUAAAAAGGAAAAGCUUUCUUUGGUCCCUUCAUUACCUUCUUCAAAUCCUUCUCCAAAAGUUGAUGAUGGUGAUGGAGGCAAUUUGGAUAGAAUUGGGAUGAUUAUUUAUGAUCUGAUAAUGUGGAAGGAUGUUGCAAAAUCGAGUCUUUGGUUUGGUUUGGGUUGUCUGUGUUUCCUGUCUUCUUGCUUUGCCAAAGGGAUUAGCUUCAGCAUUUUCUCUGCCGUUUCCCAACUGGGUCUCUUGUUUUUGGGUGCUUCUUUCAUCUCAAAUUCGAUAUGUCCAAGAAAUAAUGUUGAGAAGAGAUGUAACUUCAAGCUGAAAGAAGAGGACAUCUUAAAAAUGGGUAGAUUAAUACUACCACCUGCGAAUCUCGCAAUUUCAAAGACAAGAGAGCUUUUCUCAGGAGAGCCAUCCAUGACCCUCAAAGUCAUUCCAUUCUUGCUUCUUGGAGCUGAGUAUGGCCACCUUGUAACUCUGUGGAGACUUUGUGCAAUAGGUAAGACCACCAGAAUAAUUGCAGCCAUUGUCAAAUUGCUAACCUUUUAAGGCUGUGUACAUUUUUACCCUCCUUUUUUAUAUGUUGAAAUCUUUUAUCUAUGAAUGGGUGGAUGAGAAUAUAAUUGUUGGUUUGUGAAUUUGAGCAGGGUUUUUCAUUGGUUUCACUAUCCCCAAAUUAUAUUCAUGCUACUCCUAUCAAAUAAACCAGAAAGGUACAUGGAACCCGCAAGUAUAAUUCAAAUGUAAGGAGUUAUUGUUGCUUUAUUGGAAUUUAACUUGUUGAGGGUUACAGUUCAUUUCAUGAAAUGCCGGGUGAUGGAAGCAUGGGAAGCUUGUUCUCACAAGAAGAUUGUGGCAGCAUCGGCAGUCACAGCCUUCUGGAAUAUGUCCAGCAUCAAAACACGCAUUUUUGCUGGUAAUUUAUCAGGCCUGGAGAUUGUUUCAAUGAUAUCAAUUUCCAAACUCCAGGCCCUGCAAUACAUAAUUCUGCAGGACUUAGCUUAGUCCAUUCCCUUACAAAGCCAAUUAUUCAAUAGCACACAUGAAACUACCCACAAAUCUUGAUUCUUACAUGAGAUAUGGUAUUGUUUUGCAGCAUUUAUAUUUCUAGUGAUCCUACGUUGCUGCCGGCAACGUCUGGUACCAAAACAAGAAGGGGAAGAAGGAGAAGGAGCAGAAGAAGGAGAAGGGAAGGAACAAGAACCUCAGCAGUCAAAGGCAUUGGUGGCUGCAGAGGAAGUGACCGCCCAGAAAUAAUCAUAAAAGUGACACAUCUAUGUUCUUCAACACGAACAAAUAAAGGAGUGUUUGCAUUUCUUCUGCUUUGAGUUCUUGUUUUUUCCUUCAACUAUUAUUCUGAUCAGAAGUCCUUCCCAUCUGAGAU
rnacentral:misc_RNA from 1 species